UUUUAUUUUAUUGCAUCUCCUUUUUUUUUUUAGUCCUCUAGUUUAACGUCUAUUCAGUUCUGCUUUUUUGUUUGAAUUUUUAUUACCUUUCCGAAUCUGGAUCCAAACGGAAUAUGUUAACUGGCGCAGAGUGGGACGCGGUUAUUGUUUUACGAAAGAGCGACAAUUAGUGAAUCAAGUGUGGUUUCAACGGUAUUCAUAUUUUGGAACGAUAAAACGAGAUUAUCCGUUUCGUCGCACACGCAUCGUGUAUGACUUAUACCUUGUUAUCUUCGUGACACGUUUUUUGUGGAUCGUUAAAAAAAACAUAUUCACGAAAAAUAUUCAAACUCGAAUUUGACGAUCUCCUCGAGGGACACCGCCAAACUACAGUCGGUCCUCGGUUCAAUUUUACCGCUUCAACUGUAAACGGGAAAAAUCUUAGAAAACACGAAAAAGCUCAAUAGCUUCACUGUUGCAUGUAGCCGACGGCUGUGCAAGGUGCUCAGCCCUCAGAUGGAUCAAGCGGUGCAUGAAACCAGCAGCGGAGGAGUCGGGAUAGGAGGAACGGCGCAGCAGCAGCAGCAAUACGGCGAGGUGAAUCAAUUGGGUGGGGUGUUCGUUAACGGAAGACCGUUGCCUAACGCGGUAAGACUGAGGAUCGUCGAAUUGGCGCAGUUGGGUAUAAGGCCGUGCGACAUAUCGCGACAGCUUCGCGUCAGUCAUGGCUGCGUGAGUAAAAUUCUGGCACGUUAUCACGAGACGGGGAGUAUCCUUCCGGGUGCGAUCGGAGGAAGUAAACCGCGAGUAACGACGCCUAAGGUUGUGCAGUACAUAAAGCAGCUGAAAUUGAAAGACCCGGGAAUAUUCGCUUGGGAGAUAAGGGACCGUUUGUUGUCCGAUGGGGUAUGCGACAAGUACAACGUACCCUCGGUUUCGAGCAUCUCGAGGAUUCUUAGGAACAAAGUCGGGGCCGCAACGUCGGCGGCGAUUCGGCACCACCCUCAUCACCCGCACCACACGCACCACGCGCAUCAUCCGGCACACCAUCACCAUCAUCAUCACCACCUUUACGCGGCGGCAGCUGCGGCCGGGGCAGCACUCUGCCCCGUACCUUAUCCGACUACUCCGUACCACAGCGCGCCUUCGCCGGCGACUCACCACCACCAUCAUCAAGUGGGCUUGACGACGCCCCCGUCGUCGAGCAAGGUGCCCUCGUCGCCCCCAACCCCGACCCCAGGGAGUGGUCAACGCGAACAAGCGAACACCGCUUUGCAGUGGCCGAGUCCGCACACGGUACAUGAUAUACUGGCAAGCAGCGUUCCCACGAUUCCUAAUUCUUCAGCAUCCUCAUUUUCUUCUUCCUUAUGUGCCAUGAUUAACAACAAUAUCAACAACAACGCUGCAACUCCGAACGACAACAACGGUAGCAACGCUGCUCCCAGCAGCAACAACAACAACCACAAUCACAGCAACAAUAACGGCAGCGGUACCGCCAACGCCGACAGGAACCAUCAACAUCAUCAUACCAACAACAACAACAACAACAACAACAACAGCAAUCACAACAACAACAACAACGAUAAUCAUUCGGUUUCGAGUAGCUACCACACGCACUCGUUGCAUCCACACCAGCAUCAUCAUCAUCAUCACCAGCAGUAUUACGCCUCGACCCUUUACCGUCAUCACCACCAUCAUCAUCCUGGAGCCGCAACGUCUGCUGGAUUACAGGUAGUGAUGAUGCAGACGUCUAAUGCCAAUCAACCGGCUAGCCCUUGCAAUUGAUUUAUACGAAAUAGGGUAGGGGGAGUUAGUCAUCCACAACCUGCCAUGGUUAAAUUCCUCUACGAGGACUACUACAGCUUCAGUCCUAUGGAGACGCUGGAUCUCCCCAUCACGUGUAAGGAGGUAAUUGUAUUUUCUACGAAUAUAUCAAUAGCGGGAUACGUUUGGACCUUUUUGGUAAUACGAUGUGUAAUGCGUGGAGAGACCGAUUUAAUAACGAUUACUAUUGCAAUCUAGUAUUUCGGGUGCGAUUUUUAAGGAAUCUUCUGCAAUUUUCUGCAAUAAACUGUUACAUUCUAAGUUAGCAACCUUAUUUACGGACUGCACGUUAUCAUAUCUGUUCUUCCUCUCAAUCAUUCCUGUUUUGAUACGUCAUUAUAUUCGUGGACUACGUGUGAAAAUAUUUUCACGAGCUUCGCCGCAGAGAAUUUUCGUAACACCAGCGACGAAUAAUAUUUCAUAUCAAUUUCACGCGAUUUAUUACGCAAUAUUUUCUUACAUCCAAACGAAUUUUUGAUCCGUCAACCGACGUCACUCGCGCCGUUCGAGAAUCAUCGAAUACUGCAACGCUAAAAUCUAUUUGUCUGACGAUGAUUUGCAGUAAAUUGAUUACGGAUCUCAACUAUUAUAGUAUUAUAGUAAAACGGUCUCUCCAUGUUUACAUUUGGCUUCGCCGUAUACGUUGUAUGUAUGUUGUAGAUGAAUUCGUCAUGUCAUGUACAACAGAAUUCUAUACAAAUAAGAAACUAAGGUUCUACGCAUUAUAUAUUGUCCUUGUAGGUUGGUCGACAUACGAUGAACUUUAACUGAUGUUUACAUCAAUGUGAACGGUAUUUGUAACCAUGUGAAUUCAGGUAUUUAAGUUUGGUUCGACGGCAGGACGCGAUUAUCAAAUCCAGACCAUCUUCAUAUUCUACGUGGUGCUUUGACUGAACGGUCGCGUAUCAAAUUGGUGGUAAAUACUUUCACCAGUCAGAGGAAGAAUUGAGGUUGAACGAAGCGCAAUUCUUCAUAUUUCAGAGUUUUCCGUCUUGGAUACAACGGCAGUUCAGCUUCAGCGACAGAAGAGGCGACAUCAGC
rnacentral:misc_RNA from 1 species